rnacentral:rRNA from 1 species
GAUGAACGCUGGCGGCGUGCCUAAUACAUGCAAGUCGAGCGAACAGACGAGGAGCUUGCUCCUCUGACGUUAGCGGCGGACGGGUGAGUAACACGUGGAUAACCUACCUAUAAGACUGGGAUAACUUCGGGAAACCGGAGCUAAUACCGGAUAAUAUAUUGAACCGCAUGGUUCAAUAGUGAAAGACGGUUUUGCUGUCACUUAUAGAUGGAUCCGCGCCGCAUUAGCUAGUUGGUAAGGUAACGGCUUACCAAGGCAACGAUGCGUAGCCGACCUGAGAGGGGUAAUGGCCACACUGGAACCGAGACACGGUCCAGACUCCUACGGGAGGCAGCAGGAGGGAAUCUUCCGCAAUGGGCGAAAGCCUGACGGAGCAACGCCGCGUGAGUGAUGAAGGUCUUCGGAUCGUAAAACUCUGUUAUUAGGGAAGAACAAAUGUGUAAGUAACUAUGCACGUCUUGACGGUACCUAAUCAGAAAGCCACGGCUAACUACGUG